AGUAAAAGUCGUAACAAGGUUUCCGUAGGUGAACCUGCGGAAGGAUCAUUACAGAGCGUGAAGCUAUGCGGAACUUCGUUUCGUGUAGUUGACCCUCCACCCGUGUCGAUUAUCUCAUGUUGCUUUGGCGGAUCGGGCUUGCCCGCGCCCACUUUGUGGGGGAUAUCCGCCAGGGAAGACCAAAACUCUUGUUAUCAGUGAUGUCUGAGGAUGAUAUAUAAUCAUGAAAACUUUCAACAACGGAUCUCUUGGCUCUGGCAUCGAUGAAGAACGCAGCGAAAUGCGAUAAGUAAUGUGAAUUGCAGAAUUUAGUGAAUCAUCGAAUCUUUGAACGCACAUUGCGCCCCUGGUAAUUCCCAGGGGCAUGCCUGUUCGAGCGUCCGUAACAACCUCUCAAGCCUGGCUUGGUAUUGGGACUCGCUGCCUCGGUGGUGGUCCUCAAAAGCAGUGGCGGGCCCAUGUAACUCUCCGCAUAGUAAUACAUCUCGCGACAGAGAAGCAGCGGGACUUGCCAAAACUCCUUAAUUGCUCAGGUUGACCUCGAAUCAGGUAGGGAUACCCGCUGAACUUAAGCAUAUCAAUAAGCGGAGGAAAAGAAACCAACAGGGAUUGCCUCAGUAACG
rnacentral:rRNA from 1 species